GACGAACGCUGGCGGCGUGCUUAACACAUGCAAGUCGAACGGAAAGGCCCUGCUUGCAGGGUCCUCGAGUGGCGAACGGGUGAGUAACACGUGGGUGAUCUGCCCUGCACUUCGGGAUAAGCCUGGGAAACUGGGUCUAAUACCGGAUAGGAGCCAUUUUUAGUGUGAUGGUUGGAAAGUUUUUUCGUUGUAGGAUGAGCUCGCGGCCUAUCAGCUUGUUGGUGGGGUAAUGGCCUACCAAGGCGGCGACGGGUAGCCGGCCUGAGGGGGUGGACGGCCACAUUGAGACUGAGAGACGGCCCAGACGCCGACGGGAGGAAGCAGGGGGGAAUAUUGCACAAUGGGCGCAAGCCUGAUGCAGCGACGCCGCGUGUGGGAUGACGGCCUUCGUGUUGUAAACUCCUUUCGCUAGGGACGAAGCUUUUUGUGACGGUACCUAGAGAAGAAGCACCGGCUAACUACGUG
rnacentral:rRNA from 1 species